CGAUCCAAGAGGGUUUUAUUAAUAUAGUUAGGGGGUUCCUGAAAACGUCACCUCGCCCCCUCCGACGCGGGCACGCGCCGGCGACCUCGCCGUGGAGGCAACGACGGCUCGAAUCCGGCCACCCACUCCCGAGGACUGAGGGGCCCGGCUCCGUGCUCAGACCGCAUCCACCCCGGACCCCCAGCUUGCCACACACGGCUCUCCAUUCGCCGCCCCGCGCACCCAGACGACGAGAAGCGGAGGAAGUAGGAGACGAAAUGGGAGGGGUCUGAUGCCGCCGCCGGCGGCGGCCGCAAGGAGCAGCG
rnacentral:lncRNA from 1 species